rnacentral:rRNA from 1 species
UACGUGGGGGGCGAGCGUUGUUCGGAAUUAUUGGGCGUAAAGGGUGCGUAGGCGGUUUGGUAAGUCUUAUGUGAAAUCUACAGGCUCAACUUGUAGUCUGCAUGAGAAACUGCCGGGCUUGAGUAUGGGAGAGGUGAGUGGAAUUCCUGGGGUAGCGGUGAAAUGCGUAGAUAUCGUAAGGAAGACCAGUGGCGAAGGCGGGUCUCUGGACAGUUCCUGACGCUGAGGCACGAAGGUCAGGGGAGCAAACGGG